rnacentral:sRNA from 1 species
AUAACUUCAGUACAACAGGCACUUUCAACGCCAUAGGAACGUAUCGCUAAGCGAAAAUCAAUAUAAAUAUAAAUUUGUUGGAAUUUAAAUAAAAACGAGAAGUUUAAUUAUUUUAUUUUUUCAAAAUUCGAUUUCAAAAUGCAAACAACCGAAGUGGGUGAAAGUAAACGGAAUACAGUUUCAAAAAUUUUCAAAAGUGCUUAAAAUGAAAAAAAUUAUAAGCAAAAAAUAAAAAAUAUUCAACGCAAAGCAAGAUUCAAACACUCUACUCAAGACACCAGUAAAAGGAAAGAAAAAUACACCAUAAUGAUAAACUAAAGAAGAUACAUUGUUAAUUAUAUUUUACAUAAGUAAUAUUGAAAAUGAAUGAUAUUGGAUUGGAUUGAACUCGAAGAAUUUAAAACAUUUCAACACAACAAUGACUUAAUUACAUUAUACAAUUUAUAACCUAUAAUUAAAUGGGUUUAUGUUUCAUCUGAAAGCAUUAAAAAAUUUAAAUUUC